rnacentral:misc_RNA from 1 species
GAGUUAACAACUCCCAAACCCCUAUGUGAACCUAUAACAAACGUUGCUUCGGCGGGAUCGCCCCGGCCCAGCCCGGAACCAGGCGCCCGCCGAGGACUCCCUAAAUCAUGUUUCCUACAGUUUCUUCUGAGUGGCAAACGCAAAAUAAAUUAAAACUUUUAACAACGGAUCUCUUGGCUCU